AGUGAACGCUGGCGGUAGGCCUAACACAUGCAAGUCGAACGGCAGCACAGUAAGAUCUUGCUCUUACGGGUGGCGAGUGGCGGACGGGUGAGGAAUACAUCGGAAUCUACUUUUUCGUGGGGGAUAACGUAGGGAAACUUACGCUAAUACCGCAUACGACCUACGGGUGAAAGCAGGGGAUCUUCGGACCUUGCGCGAUUGAAUGAGCCGAUGUCGGAUUAGCUAGUUGGCGGGGUAAAGGCCCACCAUGGCGACGAUCCGUAGCUGGUCUGAGAGGAUGAUCAGCCACACUGGAACGGAGCCACGGUCCAGACUCCUAGGGGAGGCAGCAGUGGGGAAUAUUGGACAAUGGACGCAAGCCUGAGCCAGCCAUACGCGUGGGUGAAGAAGGCCUUCGGGUUGUAAAGCCCUUUUGUUGGGAAAGAAAAGCAGCAGGUUAAUACCCCGCUGUUCUGACGGUACCCAAAGAAUAAGCACCGGCUAACUUCGUG
rnacentral:rRNA from 1 species